rnacentral:rRNA from 1 species
AUUGAACGCUGGCGGCAUGCUUUACACAUGCAAGUCGAACGGUAACAGGCCGCAAGGUGCUGACGAGGGGCGGACGGGGGAGUAAGGCAGCGGAACGUGCCCAGACGUGGGGGAUAACUACGCGAAAGAGUAGCUAAUACCGCAUACGAUCUAUGGAUGAAAGCGGGGGACCGUAAGGCCUCGCGCGAUUGUGGCGGCCGAUGUCAGAUUAGGUAGUUGGUGGGGUAAAGGCUCACCAAGCCAACGAUCUGUAGCUGGUCUGAGAGGACGACCAGCCACACUGGGACUGAGACACGGCCCAGACUCCUACGGGAGGCAGCAGUGGGGAAUUUUGGACAAUGGGCGCAAGCCUGAUCCAGCAAUGCCGCGUGCAGGAAGAAGGCCUUCGGGUUGUAAAGUGCUUUUGUACGGAAAGAAACGGAUCUGGUUAAUACCCGGGGCUAAUGACGGUACCGUAAGAAUAAGCACCGGCUAACUACGUG